GUUUGAUCAUGGCUCAGGACGAACGCUGGCGGUGUGCCUCACACAUGCAAGUCGAACGGGGUAGCAAUACCCAGUGGCGGACGGGUGAGUAACACGUGGGAAUCUGCCUUUAGAUGGGGGAUAGCAGGCCGAAAGGCCUAUUAAUACCGCAUAUGCCGAAAGGUGAAAGUAGCAAUACGUCUGAAGAUGAGCCCGCGCCCGAUUAGCUAGUUGGUAAGGUAAAGGCUUACCAAGGCUACGAUCGGUAGCUGGUCUGAGAGGAUGAUCAGCCACAAUGGAACUGAGACACGGUCCAUACUCCUACGGGAGGCAGCAGUGGGGAAUUUUACACAAUGGGCGAAAGCCUGAUGUAGCGACACCGCGUGAGCGAAGAAGCCUUUUGGGGUGUAAAGCUCUGUCAGCAGGGACGAAAAAAAUGACGGUACCUGCAGAGGAAGCAUCGGCUAACUACGUGCCAGCAGCCGCGGUAAGACGUAGGAUGCGAGCGUUGUCCGGAUUUAUUGGGCGUAAAGAGUUCGUAGGCGGUUCGUUAAGUCUGAUGUUAAAGACUGGGGCUCAACCCUGGGAGUGCAUUGGAUACUGGCGGACUGGAGUGCAGUAGAGGCAAGCGGAAUUCCCAGUGUAGCGGUGAACUGCGUAGAUAUUGGGAAGAACACCGGUGGCGCAAGCGGCUUGCUGGGCUGUAACUGACGCUGAGGAACGAAAGCUAGGGGAGCGAAUGGGAUUAGAUACCCCAGUAGUCCUAGCCGUAAACGAUGGAUACUAGGCGUAUCGGGUAUCGACCCCUGAUGUGCCGCAGCAAACGCGAUAAGUAUCCCGCCUGAGUAGUACGGCCGCAAGGUUGAAACUCAAAGGAAUUGACGG
rnacentral:rRNA from 1 species